AGCACUAGUGGUUUGUGGACUGUGGGAAGUCAAGGAGCAGAAUGUUAUCAAGGAAGAACGACCAUACAAUCAUGCCAACUAUAUGGUCUAAUUGCGGUGGUACAGAUGGUCGAGACACAUCUGUCUCUGUAGCCCGAGGAUAAGUAAUGGUCACAAGGAUGUGGGCUUCUUUGCGUGCUUCUCAGCUCUGAUAUGCCCCCAGGGCUCAUUUGAUACACUCAGUGACCGACAAACUCACUAUCCUGGCAAAGGAGGCAACUUCUCAAAAGGGCUGCUCCAGAGGCAAAUGUAUUGCUUUCAUUGAGCGAGUCACUAGAUCAUGCGUCUAGCAUGCAUCUAGCUUGUUGGGGAACUUGGCGGAUCGUUACUUUACGACAUUGCUGCUUCAGUUCCAUGUUCAUCGACAACAGCAAUAGUUGCAGCUAAGCCUGAGGUGGAGCACCAGAGGGAUAAGUAGAAUGGGAUAAGUUAUUCCAUUGUUCCUGAUCAGGAGACGGGAAGGCGGACAUGAAGCCAGGUUGGCCACACUCAAGUAGACAUCACAAUCUGUUUGUGGUAACCACCAGGCAAGAGGAAGAGAGUCAGACUGGGUCCAAGAUGAAAACUGGUCGGUUAGUUGUUUUGAAUUGUGGUUUUCGGUGCUCAUGUUGGAUAUUCCCAGCACAGCUCCUUCGGUUUUAUCGGCCUGCUAUCUGCCUGUGCUGUAAUUGAGGUAUUGCAUAAAUGAUUCCUGGACUAUUAUUUCUCUGCUUACUGGUCUUACUUGCAAACUACAGAUUCUGUGUGUGUUUUGGCGUAAGAAGUUGGGGUCUGAAGCAAGGACAUGAUGAUUAGCAGUUCAACAGUUCAUGACUACAACAAGUUCAAAACCGGUGGCUCCAGAAGGGACAUGUUGUAGAGAGCGGUGGAGAAAUCGUCUCAGUUGACAUAUGAACUGCUUCCCUCGUCACACCGUUAGGGGUCUGGAUUGCAGGUCCACGACGAGUCCAUGAUUCCCCCAGAAAGGCUGACGUGUGACCUAGGUCUGAUGUUCGGUACUUCACUGUAGUAUGCUUCUUGAUCCACGUAUAGUCUUAGCCAUGGCUGCAGUUUGCAUAUCAUCUGCUGAUCCUCAAGUAUCUUUGUCCCCUUUUGGCUGGCUGUUCCUGCCUCUACAUGGUAUUACAUGGUGUGUUCUCUUGUUAGGGUUUCUUUGCCCUUUUUCCUUUCCAAUUUCAUCUGACAUUAUUGAUCC